rnacentral:misc_RNA from 1 species
UGUGCGUGUGUAUGACUAUACAGUAUAAUGCCAAUAUACACAAAAGGCAUUUUAUUUAGGCAACGAACCGAUAUUUCCAGGGAGAGAAAUUGAUGUUCUUCUAGUGAAGCCUUGCUGCUCCUCCUCCUCCAGAAUGCAGCUUAUUAUUACCGCUUUGGACAACCUGUAAAACUCCUGGUCGCUUGGUAAUCUCCGCAACCUGAUCGGGCGUAAGCCGAGCAGAAAAACCACUAGCAGCAUUUUUAUAACUAUACACAAGAGCCUCCCUAGCAGCUUCUUCACUGCCAAGAACAGAAGCUAGGGUUCGGAUAUGAUAGGCCUCAGGUUCUUCAUUGUGAGGCCUCUCGGUGUAAACGAUAUGCACCGCCGGUGAAGCGAAGUUGGAUACGACGGGAAUGGAAAGGGAUUGGCCG